UACGGGGGGGGCAAGCGUUGUUCGGAAUUACUGGGCGUAAAGGGUUUGUAGGUGGCCCGCUAGGUCACACGUGAAAUCCCUCAGCUUAACUGGGGAACUGCGUGUGAGACUGGCAGGCUCGAGGGCAGGAGAGGAACGCGGAAUUCCAGGUGUAGCGGUGAAAUUCGCAGAUAUCGGGAGGAACACCGGUGGCGAAGGCGGCGACCUGGGUAGAUACUGACGCUGAGGUGCGAAAGCGUGGGGAGCAAACAGG
rnacentral:rRNA from 1 species